CAGAAGGCAGAAGUGAAAGAGAGGGUGGAGAUUGCAUGAGAUGAACCUAUGGGCACACUGACGAAGUCACGACUGAUUGUGUGUUUUAAUGUGAGCAAGUGUGGCAGCACUUAUGUUAGUUGGAUUUGUGAUUAAACGCUUAGAAAUGAAGCUCUCCUGCCCUCUGAUCUGUGGGAUCAUUUUGUCCUGGAUUUGCUUCAGAGUUUCAAGUGAGAAUCUGUCUGUGAUUCAGAGUCCAUCCAGUGUGUGUGUUUAUGCUUUUCUCACAGUUUCAAGUGAGAAUCUGUCUGUGACUCAGAUUCCACCCAACAUCACUGUGAAUGAAGGAGAAUCUGCUCAAAUCAGCUGCUGCUGGAAUGAAACCAUACAGAAUGUUAAAGUUGCUUGGUACAUCAAUGAGAAAAAACAAAAGCAGGAUCUCCAAGAACAUAAAACACAGAACUGUGCAAUUCUGAACCUCACAAACAUACUUAAAAAUGCUUCAGGUCAUUAUGUUUGUGAAGUGACUCAAGACAUACCAGUCCUGCUUCAGGAGAAUGGUAGUGGAACAGUCAUAACUGUCAAUUACAUACUAGUAGAAACAACAACAACUGUCAGUGUUCACACACUUUUCAACCCAGCAGCUGGUAGUUCGCGGGAGGUUGUGAUCAUAUAUAUUUUCAGAAGUCUGCCCUUCAUCUGUCUGCUGGUGGUGUUCUUUUACCUAAACAGGGACAAAAAACAAGUCACAGCAUCAAGACCAGAAAGUCAGGAGUCAGGAGAAAAAACGGAUGAAGACCUGGAGGCCGGAGAGACACAGAGGAGUGAAACUGAAGUAGCGAAACAGGGUGAGAAUGUUUCUGAACAGGAGAAAAGGAGGGUCAACAACCAGAAACCUGAAGUUACUACUGCAGCAACAGAAGAAGAAAAAGAAAAUGAAGAAAAACAGAUUGAUGUAGUUGUAGACACUGAACAAGGUACAUCUCCAAUGCGUGACGAUGAAAAAAACAAGACUGAAUCUGUUCUGAACACUGAUGAAAAGACAUCUAAUGACUGAUGCUGAAGAAGUGACUGUUUCUGUGCUGGGCGGCUUUGUUUCAGCUCUGUGAGACAUACAGGAAAUGGAGUUAUGGGUGUGUUGUUCAGGUCUAUGAUGCCACUUCCUGCAUAAUUGCUUGUUUGCAGACUCAUAAUGGUUUGCAAUGAUUUACACUGAAUCCUGAAAGUAGGUGAAAUAUAGUAUGUCUUGUGCAUGCAUGAAUCUUUCUGUUGGAUUGUGUGUAUUGUGGGAUUGUGUAUAUGGUUGUUUUUCAGUGUGUCUUGGGUGAAUCGAAUGUGAGAUCAGUGUUGUGGUUUACUGUGGGCUUCACUGUGAUAAAAUUAGUUGCGUGGGGAGGGGGUGAAAUUCUGAGAGUACGAGUGUCUCAUGCGUGUGAAAGGUUAUUAUGUGGGAGUAAAGCAGAGUUCAGAUUCUCUGCAGAUGCUCAGAAAUGAAGUGUUCCUCCAGACUCCUGUGUGGGCUCCUCGUGUCAUGCCUUUAUUUCAGAGGUAAGUGCCACUUGAAACUCCUUCCUGAGUGAAAACCCAGCACAGAUGCUCCAGGAUACUGUUCUGUAUAGUACAAAAUAAAAUAAAUCAACUGUCUGUAGAGCUGUGCGAG
ensembl:lncRNA